UGGAGUAAAAGUCUUGCCAUGAGAAAAUUGUCAAACUUAAAGAUUAACCAUGAAAAUCUAAAGCAUCAAGUGCAAGCAAAUGGGUGGCAAGCAUGGCUUUGAUUUCACACGUAGGCGCUAUGUUUACAUAUGUACAUGUUGUCCAUAUUUUGCUUUGCUUCAUAUAUUAGGAGUUCAUCCCUAGCUAGCCUAUAACUUUGAUUGAAAACUUAUGAAUCUGAAACAUUUUGAUUUAAGGACAUUAAAUGUUGUCAAUAUGUAUUUAGAAAUCAAAUUACAUGUCAUAUUUUCAUA